UACAGAGGUCCCGAGCGUUGUUCGGAAUCAUUGGGCGUAAAGCGCACGUAGGUGGCCUGUUAAGUCGGGUGUGAAAUCCCUGGGCUCAACCCAGGAAGUGCACUCGAAACUGGCAGGCUUGAGUACUGAAGAGGGUCGCGGAAUUCCCGGUGUAGAGGUGAAAUUCGUAGAUAUCGGGAGGAACACCAGUGGCGAAGGCGGCGACCUGGGCCUGUACUGACGCUGAGGAGCGAAAGCGUGGGGAGCGAACAGG
rnacentral:rRNA from 1 species